GGAGAGUUGGCAGAGCGGUCGAUUGCACCGGUCUUGAAAACCGGCGAUGCCGAGAGGCAUCCGUGAGUUCGAAUCUCACACUCUCCGCCA
rnacentral:tRNA from 1 species